GGCGACUAGAGUUAAUCGGGUUUCCGGGUUUCAUUUGAACCUCUUUUGGUCCUUCUGUUUAGUGGGAUCAAUACUGUUCAAAACUUCAAAUUCAAAUCAACUCGGCCCUGCAGUGCAGUUUGUGCGCGCAAUGGAGGUUCUGUACACGAAGCUCUAUGACAAGUACACCGAACUCAAGACUAAGAAACUGUCUGAUUUGGAACACCUCAACGAAGGACAACAGCUUAAAUUCAUCAAUUGCUUGUCCGCUGCAGAAGAGGUCGUUGAGCACUUGAAGACCGAGAAGGAAGAGCUUCUUGGACAAGUCAAUGACUUGAGAGUCGAGCUCGCUUUGCUAAGGGCUGCCAAAGACAACCAGUUAGCGGACUAUCAGAUGCUUUUGAUGGAGGAAAGACACAAAAAUGAAACUCUUUCUGAAGAAGUUGAGAAAUUGCAGCAGCUUCACCAGGAAGGAGCAUCUCAUGAUUUAAAUAAUAGUAGCAGGAUCAUGAUUGUAGAUGGUCAGUUUAAGGAUAACUCUAACAGCUCAUCUGUAAGAAUGACUAGAAAACGUAUAAGACAGAAUGCUUUGGAGAAAGAAGAAAGGUUUAUAUCUUUUCAAAAUGAUCAAGGUUCUUUUGAGAGAGAGUCAAUGCAAAAUACCUGCAAGGUGACCGCAUCUGGUAAGCGGUUGGAGUGCUGUAGUGAGGCUAAUGUUCGAUCAGGCAUUGAUUUACAGGAAACUGGUCAUGGUGACUGGCUUAUUCCAGUUCUUUUUGAAUAUGUACUGGGAAUGAAAUUUUCCACUUACUGUCAAGCUGGACGGAUAUGCCUUUCUGCACUGCAUUUAUCAAGUGGCUACUCCUUCAGUUUAUCAUGGAUUUGCAAAGCCCCUGAAGAGGAAGCCGAGCUGAUGUACCAUGCUUUAUCUCUCGGUACAUUUGAAAGAUUGGCUCCAGAAUGGAUGAGAGAGGACAUCGUGUUCAGCCCUAGCAUGUGCCCCAUAUUCUUUGAAAGGAAUAUUAAGUUGUGCUGUACGAGUGAACUUGCUUGUUUCUCCCAAAACCCAUUUCAUAUGCCAUCUGCAAAAAGAAUUUGUAAAAGUGAUGAUUGAUUGAACUGGUUGUGGUAUUGGCUUGGAGCAUCUACGCGUAGAGUGGGGAAGUUUUGCGCCAAUGUUUCAGUGACAAUUAGGCUAGGUCAAGUAUUACUAUAUUAUUUACUUUGUAGCUUCAUCUUAUGAAAGCAUAAGGACUAACCACUUAAAAACCCCAGAUGCAGCAUUUUCUAUCUUAUCCGACCGUGAGAAAGCCCUGUGGAAAUUGAUCUCAGCCUUGAAUCCCAAUUUGUCUAAAAGUAAAUGUUUUGUGGAGAAUGAGAAAUGGUCGAUCUUAUUAUCGUGAAUAAGAAUCUUUUGUUCACGAGGCUCUGGCAUAUUAAGAAAGCUAUGUUGGAUAUCUCUCUGGCCAAGCAAAUGGAGUGUGGAAGACUUAUGUUCAUUGGUAUCAUAUUUGAAGGGAAGCCAACCAAGUGGCGUAUUCCUCAGUUAAGUUUAGUCUUUCUCCCUUACUGCCAGUUCAGGUUUUGUGAUAGUCUAAUUCAGUGAUAAAUAAAAUAUAAAGCCCACGAUUAAUUCCUUGUUCAAGACUUCAACUUGAAGUCUUAGUAGACCGUCUUCAUUACAAUUCAACUAAAUAUUUAUCUCGAUGUAGUCAAGAAUUUGCCAUUUGUUCGACGAAUACAUGCCACUUUAAAAUGUGGAUUAAUGUAUUGUCGUGGGCGUUCAUUAUUGAAAAUCAUAGAACACUAAUGAAACCUCAGGUUGCUGGCCGGUAAUAAGAAAGAAGGCCGGCAUGUUUAAAUAGUUUGGAAGCAAAGAGUCACAUGGUUGUCUUCAAUUCAAUGAAUAGCUAGCUGCUAUUGAUGAUGACUAUGGACUAUUAAUUAAUAACAAAAUGU